GGUGGCUCAUUGGUAGAGUGCUUGCCUUGCAUGCAUGAGGCCCUGGGUUCAAUUCCUCAGCACCA
rfam:Dipodomys ordii contig_8211, whole genome shotgun sequence.